GGUGAGGAUCCUUUCCAAUAGUACAGUCCUCAUCCUAGAUAUUUAGAGCUCUUGUUUGUGAGAACGGCAAAUAUUUACCUUGAACACUUUGAAAGAUUCAAUCUUCUAGAGUGCGUCAAUUGUCAAUCAUAGUCCUCAUCCUGGAUAAUAACAAGAUGUUUGUGUUCAUGGAAACCCUCAACCAUAGUUUUCUUUUGCUUUUCUAUUCCAUAUAUUGUUGAAAAUGAUUGAAAUAAACAAACCAUAUUCAAUAAUUUUACUUAGGUGCUAUUUUAUAUUUGGAACUUUCUUUUUGUACUUUGUAAUAUAGAUUGGAUUCUGAGAAGGAAAUCCGUUAUCAGGUCGAAUUAUUUUGAGAUUUAAAAAUGUAAGA
rnacentral:lncRNA from 1 species